AUUGAACGCUGGCGGCAGGCCUAACACAUGCAAGUCGAACGGUAACAGGAAGAAGCUUGCUUCUUUGCUGACGAGUGGCGGACGGGUGAGUAAUGUCUGGGAAACUGCCUGAUGGAGGGGGAUAACUACUGGAAACGGUAGCUAAUACCGCAUAACGUCGCAAGACCAAAGAGGGGGACCUUCAGGCCUCUUGCCAUCGGAUGUGCCCAGAUGGGAUUAGCUAGUAGGUGGGGUAACGGCUCACCUAGGCGACGAUCCCUAGCUGGUCUGAGAGGAUGACCAGCCACACUGGAACUGAGACACGGUCCAGGCUCCUACGGGAGGCAGCAGUGGGGAAUAUUGCACAAUGGGCGCAAGCCUGAUGCAGCCAUGCCGCGUGUAUGAAGAAGGCCUUCGGGUUGUAAAGUACUUUCAGCGGGGAGGAAGGGAGUAAAGUUAAUACCUUUACUCAUUGACGUUACCCGCAGAAGAAGCACCGGCUAACUCCGUG
rnacentral:rRNA from 1 species